CUUGUACUCCCUCCGUCCGAAAAUACUUGUCAUUGAAAUGGAUGUAUCUAGAUGUAUUUUAGUUCUAGACACAUCCAUUUUGAUGACAAGUAAUUUCAGACGGAGGGAGUACUUG
rnacentral:pre_miRNA from 1 species